rnacentral:piRNA from 1 species
AAAUAUAAGCCAGAGGUGCUUGUGA